rnacentral:rRNA from 1 species
UGACCUAAACCCUCACCAGAGUAACAAUUGGAGGGCAAGUCUGGUGCCAGCAGCCGCGGUAAUUCCAGCUCCAAUAGCGUAUAUUAAACUUGUUGCAGUUAAAAAGCUCGUAGUUGAAUUAUUGCGUCACCGUGUAUCGACAUUGGUCGUUUACCGGUUUCGCUUUUGGGAUUUAUCCCUUUUUACUUUGAGAAAAUUAGAGUGUUUCAAGCAGACUUUUGUCUUGAAUACUUCAGCAUGGAAUAAUAGAGUAGGACUUUGGUUCUAUUUUGUUGGUUUGUGAACCUUAGUAAUGGUUAAUAGGAACGGUUGGGGGCAUUCGUAUUUAACUGUCAGAGGUGAAAUUCUUAGAUUUGUUAAAGACGAACUACUGCGAAAGCAUUUGCCAAGGACGUUUUCAUUAAUCAAGAACGAAAGUUACUGGGAUCGAAGACGAUCAGAUACCGC